rnacentral:rRNA from 1 species
UCAAGCUAAAAAGGGCGCAAGGGGGAUGCCUUGGCAUUGGUAGCCGAUGAAGGACGUAGCGAUCUACGAUAAGCCACGGGAAGUCGAAAGCAGGCAAUGAUCCGUGGAUUUCCGAAUGGGGAAACCCGGCAGAGCAAUACUCUGUCAACUCCUUGUGAAUAAAAUAGCAUUGAGUAGGGAACCUCCUGAACUGAAACAUCUAAGUAGGGAGAGGAAAAGAAAUCAACCGAGAUUCCGCUAGUAGUGGCGAGCGAACGCGGAAGAGGCCAAACCAAGAGUAGUAAUACUUUUGGGGUUCGGACUGAGGACGGUAUUGACAAGAGUUAGUAGAAUGAAAUGGGAAGUUCAACCAUAGAGUGUGAGAGUCACGUAUACGAAAACUUAAGUCAGCCAUCAGUAUCCAGAGUACCGCCGGACACGUGAAACCCGGUGGGAAUACGGGGGGACCACCCUCCAAGCCUAAAUACUCACCAAUGACCGAUAGUGUAUAGUACUGUGAAGGAAAGGUGAAAAGAACCCCUGGCGGGGAGUGAAAAAGAACCUGAAACCUUGUGCCUACAAGCACAUAGAGCACGUCAACGUGUGAUAUGGUACCUUUUGUAGAAUGGUCCGGCGAGUGAAUGUAACCGGCAAGGUUAAGCUCUUAAGGAGUGAAGCCGAAGCGAAAGCAAGUCUGAAAUGGGCGUUGAGUCGGUUGUAUUCGACCCGAAACCGGGUGACCUAGCCAUGUCCAGGCUGAAGUGAAGGUAAAACUUCAUGGAGGGCCGAACCCACUCCCGUUGAAAUGGUAGGGGAUGAGGUGUGGCUAGCGGAGAAAUUCCAAUCGAACCCGGAGAUAGCUGGUUCUCUCCGAAAUAGCUUUAGGGCUAGCCUCGAUUUGACAUUACCGGAGGUAAAGCACUGAAUGGGCUAGGGGCCGAGAGGUUACUGAACCCUAUCAAACUAAGAAUGCCGGAUAAUGAUAAUCGGGAGUCAGACAGUGUGAGAUAAGUUUCAUUGUCAAAAGGGAAACAGCCCAGACCCACAGCUAAGGUCCCAAAGUACGGUUAAGUGGAAAAGGAUGUGGAGCUGCACAGACAACCAGGAUGUUGGCUUAGAAGCAGCCACUCAUUAAAAGAGUGCGUAAUAGCUCACUGGUCGAGUGACCCUGCGCCGAAAAUUCAACGGGGCUAAAAUCUAUACCGAAGCUUGGGCUGCAAUUGAAAGAUUGCGGGGUAGGGGAGCGUCGUAUAAGAGGAGAAGUCAUAGCGGAAGCGAUGGUGGAUUUUAUACGAGUGAGAAUGCCGGAAUGAGUAGCGAGAAUUAUGUGAGAAUCAUAAUGGCCGAAAAUCUAAGGAUUUAGGAGGAAGGUUCGUCCGCUCCUAGUAAGCCGGGAGCUAAGGCGAGGCGGAAACGCGUAGCCGAUGCACAUACGGUAGAAAUUCCGUAGCCUCUGAAAGAUUUAAGCACAAGGACACUUGAGAAGCGUUUAUCCGGGAGUUGGUAUUCCCGGUCGUAAGGGACCCCGAAUGGGGGAAGUAAAUGUGGAUUGAGGCAAGAAAAGUUGUGUGAAUAUCUGAAGAGCCCGUACCGCAAACCGACACAGGUAGAUAGGAAGAGAAUUCUAAGGCCAACGGGAGAAGGGUUGUUAAGGAACUCGGCAAGUUGACUCCGUAACUUAGGGAGAAGGAGUGCUCGAAAGAGCCGCAGAGAAUAGGCCCAAGCGACUGUUUAGCAAAAACACAGCUCUAUGCUAAAUCGAAAGAUGACGUAUAUGGGGUGACACCUGCCCGGUGCUGGAAGGUUAAGAGGAGAAGUGAGAGCUUUGAAUCGAAGCCCCAGUAAACGGCGGCCGUAACUAUAACGGUCCUAAGGUAGCGAAAUUCCUUGUCAGGUAAGUUCUGACCCGCACGAAUGGUGUAACGAUUUGGGCACUGUCUCAACAACCCGCCCGGCGAAAUUGUAGUACCGGUGAAGAUGCCGGUUACCCGCGACUAGACGGAAAGACCCCAUGGAGCUUCACUGUAGCUUAAUAUUGGAUUUUGGUAUUUCAUGUACAGGAUAGGUGGGAGACUGAGAAGCAAAGGCGUCAGCUUUUGUGGAGUCGCUGUUGGGAUACCACUCUUGAAGUGCUGAAAUUCUAACCUGCGCCCUUGAAUCAGGGCGGGGGACAUUGUUAGGUGGGCAGUUUGACUGGGGCGGUCGCCUCCAAAAAGGUAACGGAGGCGCUCAAAGGUUCGCUCAGCAUGGAUGGAAACCAUGCCAGAGAGUGUAAACGCAAAAGCGAGCCUAACUGCGAGACUGACGGGUCGAGCAGUAACGAAAGUUGGAGUUAGUGAUCCGGCGGUAUGUGAGUGGAAAUGCCGUCGCUCAACGGAUAAAAGCUACCCUGGGGAUAACAGGCUGAUCU